GCCCCUGUAGCCCAACUGGUAGAGGUGCCGCGCUCAGAACGCGGAGGUUGCUGGUUCGAAUCCAGCGAGGGGCACCA
rnacentral:tRNA from 1 species